CAGGACACUCAGCUAAAUAUGAAUUUCACAUAAACAAUGAAUAAUUUUUUAGUAUAAGUAUGUCAGGUUCAAUAUUUGAGACAUACUUAUCCUAAAAGAUUAUUCAUUGUUUAUCUGAAAUUCAAUUUUCAGUGGAUGUUCUGUA
rnacentral:miRNA from 1 species